AGAGUUUGAUCAUGGCUCAGAACGUACGCUGGCGGCACGCCUAACACAUGCAAGUCGAACGAAGUAGCAAUACUUAGUGGCAGACGGGUGAGUAACAUGUAGGUAUCUGCCCUUUGGCCUGGAAUAACACGAGGAAACUUGUGCUAAUACCGGAUAAGUCUUUACGGAGAAAGCUUUAUGCACCAUUGGAUGAGCCUGCACUUGAUUAGUUUGUUGGUGGGGUAAUGGCCUACCAAGACUGUGAUCAAUAGCUGAUUUGAGAGGAUGAUCAGCCACAUUGGGACUGAGACACGGCCCAAACUCCUACGGGAGGCAGCAGUGGGGAAUCUUGCACAAUGGAGGAAACUCUGAUGCAGCGAUGCCGCGUGAGUGAAGAAGGCCCUUGGGUUGUAAAGCUCUUUCGUCGGGGAAGAAAAUGACUGUACCCGAAUAAGAAGGUCCGGCUAACUUCGUGCCAGCAGCCGCGGUAAUACGAAGGGACCUAGCGUAGUUCGGAAUUACUGGGCUUAAAGAGUUCGUAGGUGGUUGAAAAAGUUAGUGGUGAAAUCCCAGAGCUUAACUCUGGAACUGCCAUUAAAACUUUUCAGCUAGAGUAUGAUAGAGGAAAGCAGAAUUUCUAGUGUAGAGGUGAAAUUCGUAGAUAUUAGAAAGAAUACCAAUUGCGAAGGCAGCUUUCUGGAUCAUAACUGACACUGAGGAACGAAAGCAUGGGUAGCGAAGAGGAUUAGAUACCCUCGUAGUCCAUGCCGUAAACGAUGUGUGUUAGACGUUGGAAAUUUAUUUUCAGUGUCGCAGGGAAACCGAUAAACACACCGCCUGGGGAGUACGACCGCAAGGUUAAAACUCAAAUGAAUUGACGGGGACCCGCACAAGUAGUGGAGCAUGUGGUUUAAUUCGAAGAUACGCGCAGAACCUUACCAACACUUGACAUGUUCGUCGCGACUCUAAGAGAUUAGAGUUUUCGGUUCGGCCGGACGAAACACAGGUGCUGCAUGGCUGUCGUCAGCUCGUGUCGUGAGAUGUUGGGUUAAGUCCCGCAACGAGCGCAACCCUCACUUUUAGUUGCCAUCAUUAAGUUGGGCACUCUGAAAGAACUGCCAGUGAUAAGCUGGAGGAAGGUGGGGAUGACGUCAAGUCCUCAUGGCCCUUACGUGUUGGGCUACACACGUGCUACAAUGGUAUCUACAACAGGAAGCAAGACUGCGAAGUUAAGCAAAUCCCUAAAAGAUACCUCAGUUCGGAUUGCACUCUGCAACUCGAGUGCAUGAAGCUGGAAUUACUAGUAAUCGUGGAUCAGCGUGCCACGGUGAAUGCGUUCCCGGGUCUUGUACACACCGCCCGUCACACCAUGGGAGUUGGUUCUACCUUAAGGCAAGGUUUCAAACCCUUGACCACGGUAUAGUCAGCGACUGGGGUGAAGUCGUAACAAGGUA
rnacentral:rRNA from 1 species